GGUGCUGAAGCAACAAAUGCCCUGCUUCCAGGAAAAGCCUCUAAGCAUCAGGUAACAUCAAAUCGUACCCCAAACCGACACAGGUGGUCAGGUAGAGAAUACCAAGGCGCUUGAGAGAACUCGGGUGAAGGAACUAGGCAAAAUGGUGCCGUAACUUCGGGAGAAGGCACGCUGACACGUAGGUGAAGUGAUUUACUCAUGGAGCUGAAGUCAGUCGAAGAUACCAGCUGGCUGCAACUGUUUAUUAAAAACACAGCACUGUGCAAACACGAAAGUGGACGUAUACGGUGUGACGCCUGCCCGGUGCCGGAAGGUUAAUUGAUGGGGUCAGCGCAAGCGAAGCUCCUGAUCGAAGCCCCGGUAAACGGCGGCCGUAACUAUAACGGUCCUAAGGUAGCGAAAUUCCUUGUCGGGUAAGUUCCGACCUGCACGAAUGGCGUAAUGAUGGCCAGGCUGUCUCCACCCGAGACUCAGUGAAAUUGAACUCGCUGUGAAGAUGCAGUGUACCCGCGGCAAGACGGAAAGACCCCGUGAACCUUUACUAUAGCUUGACACUGAACAUUGAGCCUUGAUGUGUAGGAUAGGUGGGAGGCUUUGAAGUGUGGACGCCAGUCUGCAUGGAGCCGACCUUGAAAUACCACCCUUUAAUGUUUGAUGUUCUAACGUGGACCCGUGAUCCGGGUUGCGGACAGUGUCUGGUGGGUAGUUUGACUGGGGCGGUCUCCUCCUAAAGAGUAACGGAGGAGCACGAAGGUUGGCUAAUCCUGGUCGGACAUCAGGAGGUUAGUGCAAUGGCAUAAGCCAGCUUGACUGCGAGCGUGACGGCGCGAGCAGGUGCGAAAGCAGGUCAUAGUGAUCCGGUGGUUCUGAAUGGAAGGGCCAUCGCUCAACGGAUAAAAGGUACUCCGGGGAUAACAGGCUGAUACCGCCCAAGAGUUCAUAUCGACGGCGGUGUUUGGCACCUCGAUGUCGGCUCAUCACAUCCUGGGGCUGAAGUAGGUCCCAAGGGUAUGGCUGUUCGCCAUUUAAAGUGGUACGCGAGCUGGGUUUAGAACGUCGUGAGACAGUUCGGUCCCUAUCUGCCGUGGGCGCUGGAGAACUGAGGGGGGCUGCUCCUAGUACGAGAGGACCGGAGUGGACGCAUCACUGGUGUUCGGGUUGUCAUGCCAAUGGCACUGCCCGGUAGCUAAAUGCGGAAGAGAUAAGUGCUGAAAGCAUCUAAGCACGAAACUUGCCCCGAGAUGAGUUCUCCCUGAGACUUAAAGUCUCCUGAAGGAACGUUGAAGACGACGACGUUGAUAGGCCGGGUGUGUAAGCGCAGCGAUGCGUUGAGCUAACCGGUACUAAUGAACCGUGAGGCUUAACCUU
rnacentral:rRNA from 1 species